GGAGAGAUAGCCCAGUGGUNGGGCGCUUGCCUAUCAUGCGUGAGGUCAAAGGUUCUCUCUCUCUCUA
rnacentral:tRNA from 1 species